rnacentral:rRNA from 1 species
CGGAGGAUCCAAGCGUUAUCCGGAAUCAUUGGGUUUAAAGGGUCCGUAGGCGGUUUGUUAAGUCAGUGGUGAAAUCUGGUCGCUCAACGAUCAAACGGCCAUUGAUACUGACAGACUUGAAUUAUUGGGAAGUAACUAGAAUAUGUAGUGUAGCGGUGAAAUGCUUAGAUAUUACAUGGAAUACCAAUUGCGAAGGCAGGUUACUAUCAAUAUAUUGACGCUGAUGGACGAAAGCGUGGGGAGCGAACAGGAUUAGAUACCCAGGUAGUCCACGCCGUAAACGAUGGAUACUAGCUGUUGGGAGCAAUUUCAGUGGCUAAGCGAAAGUGAUAAGUAUCCCACCUGGGGAGUACGUUCGCAAGAAUG